CCUACGGGUGGCUGCAGUGAGGAAUAUUGGUCAAUGGACGCAAGUCUGAACCAGCCAUGCCGCGUGCAGGAUGACGGCUCUAUGGGUUGUAAACUGCUUUUGUACGGGGGUAAACUCAGUUACGCGUAUCUGUUUGAAAGUAUCGUACGAAUAAGGAUCGGCUAAGUCCGUGCCAGCAGCCGCGGUAAUACGGAGGAUCCAAGCGUUAUCCGGAUUUAUUGGGUUUAAAGGGUGCGCAGGCGGUCGGAUAAGUUAGUGGUGAAAUGCCGAGGCUCAACCGCGGAAUUGCCUCGGAUACUGGUGGGCUAGAGAGUAGUGGAGGUAGGCGGAAUGUAUGGUGUAGCGGUGAAAUGCUUAGAUAUCACACAGAACACCGAUUGCGAAGGCAGCUUACCA
rnacentral:rRNA from 1 species